UACGGAGGAUGCGAGCGUUAUCCGGAUUUAUUGGGUUUAAAGGGUGCGUAGGCGGUUUUAUAAGUUAGAGGUGAAAUCUCGGGGCUCAACUCCGAAAUUGCCUCUAAUACUGUAGGACUAGAGAGUAGUUGCGGAAGGCGGAAUGUGUGGUGUAGCGGUGAAAUGCUUAGAUAUCACACAGAACACCGAUUGCGAAGGCAGCUUUCCAAGCUAUUACUGACGCUGAGGCACGAAAGCGUGGGGAGCGAACAGG
rnacentral:rRNA from 1 species